rnacentral:rRNA from 1 species
GAUGAACGCUGGCGGCGUGCUUAACACAUGCAAGUCGAACGAAGCACUUUAUUUGAUUUCCUUCGGGACUGAUUAUUUUGUGACUGAGUGGCGGACGGGUGAGUAACGCGUGGGUAACCUGCCUUGUACAGGGGGAUAACACCCGGACACGGCCGCUAAUACCGCACAAGCGCCCAGCACCCCAUCAUCCCGCGUGAAAAACUCCGGUGGCAUCAGAUGGACCCGCGUUGGAUUAGCUAGUUGGUGAGGUAACGGCCCACCAAGGCGACGAUCCAUAGCCGACCUGAGAGGGUGACCGGCCACAUUGGGACUGAGACACGGCCCAAACUCCUACGGGAGGCAGCAGUGGGGAAUAUUGCACAAUGGGCGAAAGCCUGAUGCAGCGACGCCGCGUGAGCGAAGAAGUAUUUCGGUAUGUAAAGCUCUAUCAGCAGGGAAGAUAAUGACGGUACCUGACGAAGAAGCACCGGCUAAAUACGUG